AUUGAACGCUGGCGGCAGGCCUAACACAUGCAAGUCGAACGAGUGGCGGACGGGUGAGUAAUGUCUGGGAAACUGCCUGAUGGAGGGGGAUAACUACUGGAAACGGUAGCUAAUACCGCAUACCAUCGGAUGUGCCCAGAUGGGAUUAGCUAGUAGGGGGGGUAAAGGCUCACCUAGGCGACGAUCCCUAGCUGGUCUGAGAGGAUGACCAGCCACAGUGGAACUGGGACACGGUCCAGCUGCUUACGGGAGGCAGCAGUGGGGAAUAUUGCAGAAUGGGGGCAAGCCUGAUGCAGACAGGCCGCGUGUAUGAAGAAGGACUUCGGGUUGUAAAGUACUGUCAGCGGGGAGGCGUUACCCGCAGAAGAAGCACCGGCUAACUCCGUGCCAGCCGCCGCGGUAAUUC
rnacentral:rRNA from 1 species